CCCUACACACACACACACACACACACACACACACACACACACACACACCACACACACUUCUCUCCACACUCUUUACACGAUUCUCUGGUAUUUAUUUUAAAAGGGAUUCCCCUGAAGAUGUAGAAGAUGAUUCCUGGCUUUGCUUGUAUGCUGGGAAUUAGAAUACUGGAUUGACUUUUUUUUUUAAAUGAAAAGAAAGAAGGGGAAAAAAACAGGAAAGGGGGAAAUGAAAGGGAAAAUUUAAAAAGAAAAAAAAAGAUAGCAAAGAAGAUUCCCCUCCCCCAUCUGAGGCUGUUUCCUUAGAAAACCCCCCUUGACUUUCUCCAGGAAUCUACUGGAAAUCAAGGAAAUGUGGGUUUCUCUACCCACCUCCUUCCUGAGGGUUCUAUAAGGACUGGCAAUGGUCUCUGAAAUCCUACCUAUCCAUCCCAUAGUCACUUGGGUCCAUGCCUUCCUUGCCUUGCCUUUGCUGUUUGAUCUUUUGGGCCCUGGCUUCCUCUGAGCUGUGUUAGUGUUUGUGCUCAGAAAUCACCAUAAUCAUGAAGAUAAUAUACUGAUAAUAAAUCUUUAACAUACUACCUAAAGGGAACCUGCAAUAAUCUUGGGGGAAAAAAAGAAAGAAAAAAAAUCCUAAUACAGGAGGGAGAAAAAAAGAAGAAAAAAAAAGAAAAAAAGAAACAAACCUCCAGCGUAUUUUAUCACUACCUAUAGAAAGAAAUCCUGCUUUGAGAGUAUUUGUAAUGCGGUUUUGUUGUUGUUUGUUGCUGCUUAUUUCUCCAUGAAAAAAAAAAAAAACCCAACAACUGAGACUGCCUAGCCCGCCGGUCUUGUGCGCUUUUAUUGUGCUUCUAACCCCAGUAGAGUAGAACUAAACUGCACUGAAUGUAUAGUUACUCUGUCUUGAAUUUCUCUGUUUAUGCAAUGUGCUCGAAAGGUUAAAGAAAAACGUUAAAAUAUAUCUAUAACAAUGAUUUUGGUCAUUUGUCUUUAUGUCCAGCUAUGAAUGUAGAUUUUGUGUCCUGAAAGCUCUGUUCCUGGUCCAAGUACUUUGUAUUGUAUAUGUGAGUCAUAAUAAUAAAAAAAAAAACAAAAGAAG
rnacentral:lncRNA from 1 species